UCAUGCUCAAUUUAAACAUGUGCACGGUACAGGGUGGCUUGCAUACAACACUGAGCUAUUAGAGUAAUUCACAGAUUCAUGUUUUUAUUUUAAACAUGUAUGUAGAAGAGAAAGUGAAUCCUAAAGCCAUCUGUGGAUGCCACACAUGCUCCCACAUCAGUGAGAUGUCAGAACCUGAUGGGAAGCACACAACUUAUCUAACCUUGGACGGAUGGAGGUUGUCAGGCAGAGGGUCAAAUCAGCCUCUCAAUAUGUUGGAUGCAGUUUAAUGUGUAUUUAAAGACAUUUCAAUUUGUAGAAAAAAUUGGUUAGAAAAUAAAUCAAAAAUUAUAAAAAAUAUAAAAAAUUGUCUAAUCAACCAAACAUUUCACGACCCCCCCUGCAGUACCUCCGCGGACCCCCUAGGGGUCGCGGACCCCCUGUUGACGACCUCUGUCCCACUGAACCCGGAGCAGGUCAGAUGCUCAGGUUGGGUUACCAUGGUGAAGACUCUGAAGUUCUCUGAUGUCCACAAAUCCUGCUUCGUAGUUCAGGUCCAGGUCUUUCAAGACAGAUCCUGGUCCCUGAUGAAUGAACCAACAUUCUACAAUAAAAUACACACGGUAUUAAUAAUGAUCAUAAAGAAUCUGGUUUGUUUUCUUAAAUUUGAAUUUAUUAGAGAUCAAGGAAAUCACAAAUAUCAAAAUCCACAGAACUUUUGUUUACAAAUGAAACAAGAUCAGAAUCAGAGAAAAACAUGAUUUAAAAAAGUAAACAAUCACAGAUCCAAUCAGCGGACACGGUGUGUUCUGGAAUCUGAUUGGCUGUUCAAUGUACACCACAGGUGAUGAAGGUGAACAGGUGAUGAAGGUGAGAAGGUGAUGAAGGUGAUGAAGGUGAGCCGGCGAUGAAGGUGAGCCGGUGAUGAAGGUGAGCAGGUGAUGAAGGUGAACAGGUGAUGAAGGUGAACAGGUGAUGAAGGUGAGCAGGUGAUGAAGGUGAUGAAGGUGAUGAAGGUGAGCCGGUCAUGAAGGUGAGCAGGUGAUGAAGGUGAGCAGGUGAUGAAGGUGAACAGGUGAUGAAG